ACUCCUACGGGAGGCAGCAGUGAGGAAUAUUGGACAAUGGGCGGGAGCCUGAUCCAGCCAUGCCGCGUGCAGGAAGACUGCCCUAUGGGUUGUAAACUGCUUUAUACGGGAAGAAACACUCCUCGUGAGGGAAUUGAUCGGUACCGUAAGAUAAGGAUCGGCUAACUCCGUGCCAGCAGCCGCGGUAAUAGCGGAGGAUCCAAGCGUUAUCCGGAAUCAUUGGGUUUAAAGGUCCGUAGGUGGACGAUUAAGUCAGAGGUGAAAUCUUGCAGCUCAACUGUAAAAUUGCCUUUGAUACUGGUUGUCUUGAGUUAUUAUGAAGUGGUUAGAAUAUGUAGUGUAGCGGUGAAAUGCAUAGAUAUUACAUAGAAUACCAAUUGCGAAGGCAGAUCACUAAUAAUAUACUGACACUGAUGGACG
rnacentral:rRNA from 1 species